GCUGUUACCGCUGAACCAAACUCCAACAUUAUGACAGUGGACACACCAGAGAACUAUGAUGAUGUCAUCAUAGCUGAACAGGAUGUAGGAGGGGUAAAAGACUAUGAUGACGUGGAGGAGGAGCCUCAGACAGAGAUGAAUCAUGUGACUGAGAGACCACAGCCAGUGUCUUUCCUCAGGAAACUACAUUCAAACUUCUUCAAACACAAGAAAUGAUUUUAUCAUCACAAG